rnacentral:rRNA from 1 species
UAUGUGAUCGUCUCUCGCAUAUCAAUAAGCGGAGGAAAAGAAACUAACAAGGAUUCCCCUAGUAACGGCGAGUGAAGCGGGAAGAGCUCAAAUUUGAAAUCUUGAAGGGUUUCCCUUUACGAAUUGUAGUUUAAAGAAGUGUUUUCUGUUGAGGUUUUGGUAAAAGUUCUUUGGAAUAGGACAUCAUAGAGGGUGAGAAUCCCGUAUUUGACCUUUACUUUCAACUUUGUGAUACACUUUCAAAGAGUCGGAUUGUUUGGGAAUGCAGUCCAAAAUGGGUGGUAAAUUUCAUCUAAAGCUAAAUAUUGGCGAGAGACCGAUAGCGAACAAGUACCGUGAGGGAAAGAUGAAAAGAACUUUGAAAAGAGAGUUAAACAGUACGUGAAAUUGUCAAAAGGGAAGCGUUUGACACCAGUGUUGUUUUUCUGAAAAUCAAUUAAAGAACUGUUUAUGCUAAGCUGUUUAGACUUUAUCAGCUAUCUGUUUAGUUUUGAGCUUUUCUUUAAUGCACUUUUCAGUUAACAAGUCAACAUCAAUUUCUUUUGCUGUAAAAAAGCUUGAGGAAGGUGGCUUGAGAUUCGUCUUAAGUGUUUAUAGCCUCUUGCCUAUGCAGUCGGAGAGAUUGAGGUCUGCAGCGUAGAUCCUUCGGGGCUAAAUGCAUUUGUGCUAAGUUAUAGCAUUUUAUAGACAACUUGUUGACUAUGAUUUGUCUUGUAGCUUACUCGCUUAUGUUAUUUUACCUACGCUUAGGAUGUUGAGCGCAUGUCUCUCUCU